GGUGUGGUAGCCAAGAGGAUAGGCGCAAGUUUGCAAAACUUCUAUACGUCGGUUCGAAUCCGACCCACACCU
rnacentral:tRNA from 1 species